rnacentral:lncRNA from 1 species
UAAACCAACAGAUCAGUUCGAAUGAUUUUAAAUAUAAAUAGUUGAAAAAUUAAUUUUGAACGGGAGACAUGAGGAAUGAUUUAAAAAUCGGGUUGAACUGGUCAGUUUGACUGGUCCGAUCGUGAUUCAGUCUAUUAUGCAAUUUGAUUUAACCUUUUGAACUGGAUAAAUCAAAAAAUCAUUUUGAACCGUUCGAACCGACAAUUCAGCCAUCGAACUGGCGAACCAGUCUGAUUUUAAUUAAAUCGAUCGGAUGGAUUUUUUAAUCAAGUCAUAUUAAGAUCCAACGGCUUAAAAUCAAUUUACCUGAUUUUCUUCUCUACUAGCAUAUAUAGAUUAGAC